rnacentral:rRNA from 1 species
UACGGGGGGGGUAAGCGUUGUUCGGAAUUACUGGGCGUAAAGGGCUCGUAGGCGGCCAACUAAGUCGGACGUGAAAUCCCUCAGCUUAACUGGGGAACUGCGUCCGAUACUGGAUGGCUUGGAUUUGGGAGAGGGAUGCGGAAUUCCAGGUGUAGCGGUGAAAUGCGUAGAUAUUGGGAGGAACACCGGUGGCGAAGGCGGCUACCUGGACCGGUACUGACGCUGAGGCGCGAAAGCGUGGGGAGCAAACAGG